rnacentral:rRNA from 1 species
GAUGAACGCUGGCGGCGUGCCUAAUACAUGCAAGUCGAGCGAACAGAUGAGGAGCUUGCUCCUUUGACGUUAGCGGCGGACGGGUGAGUAACACGUGGAUAACCUACCUAUAAGACUGGGAUAACUUCGGGAAACCGGAGCUAAUACCGGAUAAUAUAUUGAACCGCAUGGUUCAAUAGUGAAAGACGGUUUUGCUGUCACUUAUAGAUGGAUCCGCGCCGCAUUAGCUAGUUGGUAAGGUAACGGCUUACCAAGGCAACGAUGCGUAGCCGACCUGAGGGGGUGAUCGGCCACACGGGAGCUGAGACACGGUCCAGACUCCUACGGGAGGCAGCAGUAGGGAAUCGUCCGCAAUGGGCGAAAGCCUGACGGAGCAACGCCGCGUGUGUGAUGAAGGUCUUCGGAUCGUAAAACUCUGUUAUUAGGGAAGAACAAAUGUGUAAGUAACUAUGCACGUCUUGACGGUACCUAAUCAGAAAGCCACGGCUAACUACGUG